rnacentral:rRNA from 1 species
UGGGGAAUAUUGGACAAUGGGCGAAAGCCUGAUCCAGCCAUGCCGCGUGUGUGAAGAAGGUCUUCGGAUUGUAAAGCACUUUAAGUUGGGAGGAAGGGCAGUAAUCGAAUACCUUGCUGUUUUGACGUUACCGACAGAAUAAGCACCGGCUAACUCUGUGCCAGCAGCCGCUGUAAUACAGAGGGUGCAAGCGUUAAUCGGAAUUACUGGGCGUAAAGCGCGCGUAGGUGGUUCGUUAAGUUGAAUGUGAAAGCCCCGGGCUCAACCUGGGAACUGCAUCCAAAACUGGCGAGCUAGAGUAGGGCAGAGGGUGGUGGAAUUUCCUGUGUAGCGGUGAAAUGCGUAGAUAUAGGAAGGAACACCAGUGGCGAAGGCGACCACCUGGGCUCAUACUGACACUGAGGUGCGAAAGCGUGGGGAGCAAACAGG